rnacentral:rRNA from 1 species
AUUCAUUUCUUAAAAUUUGAAACGCCCGAUCUCAUCUGAUCUCAGAAGCUAAGCAGGGUCGGGCCUGGUUAGUACUUGGAUGGGAGACCACCUAGGAAUACCAGGUGCUGUAAACA